AUUGAACGCUGGCGGCAUGCCUUACACAUGCAAGUCGAACGGUAACGGGCCUUCGGGUGCCGACGAGUGGCGAACGGGUGAGUAAUGUAUCGGAACGUACCUUUCAGUGGGGGAUAACGUAGCGAAAGUUACGCUAAUACCGCAUAUUCUGUGAGCAGGAAAGCAGGGGAUCGCAAGACCUUCCGCUGAUUUAGCGCCCGAUGUCAGAUUAGCGAGUUGGUGAGGUAAAGGCUCACCAAGGCGACGAUCUGUAGCGGGUCUGAGAGGAUGAUCCGCCACACUGGAACUGAGACACGGUCCAGACUCCUACGGGAGGCAGCAGUGGGGAAUUUUGGACAAUGGGGGCAACCCUGAUCCAGCCAUGCCGCGUGAGUGAAGAAGGCCUUCGGGUUGUAAAGCUCUUUCGGCCGGGAAGAAAUCCCACGGGCUAAUACCCUGUGUGGAUGACGGUACCGGAAUAAGAAGCACCGGCUAACUACGUGCCAGCCGCCGCUGUAACAC
rnacentral:rRNA from 1 species